AAUUAUCAUACUAUACUACACACUAUUUAGUAUAGUCACACGAAUAAUUUCACUCUAACUAUACUAUAUUUCAUUUAGAAUAGUAUGACAAUUGAUGUUGGUUACCAACAUAAUGAAACACAACCAAAUAAACCCUAAACCCGCUACCUAAACCCAAACUCUAAACACUAAGCCCUAAACCUAAACUCUAAAUUCUAAACCCAAACGGUAGACCCUUAAACCCUAAACCCAAACCGUAUACCCUAAACCCAAACUCUAAACCCAAACCCUAAACCCAAAUUCUUAACCCAAACCGUAAACCAUAACGGAGCUACCUAAACCCUAAACCAAAAUUCUAAACCAUAAACCCAAACCUUAAACACAAAUUCUUAACCCAAACCAUAGACCCAAACGGAGCUACCUAAACCCUAAACCCCCCUAAACCCAAAUUCUAAACUCUAAACCCAAACCGUAAACCCUUAACCCAAACCCUAAACCCAAAUUCUAAACCCUAAACCCAAACCGUAAACCCUUAACUCAAACCCUAAACCCAAAUUGUAAAACCAAACCAUCACCCAUAAUGGAGCUACCUAAACCCUAACCUUGAAGGUCCAAAUCCUAAACCCAAACCGUAGACUCUAAACCCAAACCCUAAACCCAAACCUUAAACCCAAAACCCCCUAAACCCAAACUGUAAACCCUUAACCCAAACC
rnacentral:lncRNA from 1 species